GAUGAACGCUGGCGGCGUGCCUAAUACAUGCAAGUCGAGCGAACAGACGAGGAGCUUGCUCCUCUGACGUUAGCGGCGGACGGGUGAGUAACACGUGGAUAACCUACCUAUAAGACUGGGAUAACUUCGGGAAACCGGAGCUAAUACCGGAUAAUAUAUUGAACCGCAUGGUUCAAUAGUGAAAGACGGCUUUGCUGUCACUUCUAGAUGGAUCCGCGCCGCAUUAGAUAGUUGGUAAGGUAACGGCUUACCAAGGCAACGAUGCGUAGCCGACCUGAGAGAGUGAUCGGCCACACUGGAACGGAGACGCGGUCAAGACUCCUACGGGAGGCAGCAGUAGGGAAUCUUCCGCAAUGGGCGAAAGCCUGACGGAGCAACGCCGCGUGAGUGAUGAAGGUCUUCGGAUCGUAAAACUCUGUUAUUAGGGAAGAACAAAUGUGUAAGUAACUAUGCACGUCUUGACGGUACCUAAUCAGAAAGCCACGGCUAACUACGUG
rnacentral:rRNA from 1 species